rnacentral:rRNA from 1 species
ACGGGAGGCAGCAGUGGGGAAUAUUGCACAAUGGGCGCAAGCCUGAUGCAGCCAUGCCGCGUGUAUGAAGAAGGCCUUCGGGUUGUAAAGUACUUUCAGCGGGGAGGAAGGCGAUGCGGUUAAUAACCGCGUCGAUUGACGUUACCCGCAGAAGNAGCAYCGGCUAACUCCGUGCCAGCAGCNCGCGNGUAAUACGGAGGGUGCAAGCGUUAAUCGGAAUUACUGGGCGUAAAGCGCACGCAGGCGGUCUGUUAAGUCAGAUGUGAAAUCCCCGGGCUUAACCUGGNSAACUGCAUUUGAAACUGGCAGGCUUGAGUCUUGUAGAGGGGGGUAGAAUUSCAGGUGUAGCGGUGAAAUGCGUAGAGAUCUGGAGGAAUACCGGUGGCGAAGGCGGCCCCSUGSACAAAGACUGACGCUCAGGUGCGAAAGCGUGGGNGAGCAAACAGGAUUAGAUACCCUGGUAGUCCACGCMGUAMACGAUGUCGACUUGGAGGUUGUUCCCUUGAGGAGUGGCUUCCGGAGCUAACGCGUUAAGUCGACCGCCUGGGGAGUACGGCCGCAAGGUUAAAACUCAAAUGAAUUGACGGGGGCCCGCACAAGCGGUGGAGCAUGUGGUUUAAUUCGAUGCAACGCGAAGAACCUUACCUACUCUUGACAUCCACGGAAUUUGGCAGAGAUGCCUUAGUGCCUUCGGGAACCGUGAGACAGGUGCUGCAUGGCUGUCGUCAGCUCGUGUUGUGAAAUGUUGGGUUAAGUCCCGCAACGAGCGCAACCCUUAUCCUUUGUUGCCAGCGAUUCGGUCGGGAACUCAAAGGAGACUGCCGGUGAUAAACCGGAGGAAGGUGGGGAUGACGUCAAGUCAUCAUGGCCCUUACGAGUAGGGCUACACACGUGCUACAAUGGCGCAUACAAAGAGAAGCGACCUCGCGAGAGCAAGCGGACCUCACAAAGUGCGUCGUAGUCCGGAUCGGAGUCUGCAACUCGACUCCGUGAAGUCGGAAUCGCUAGUAAUCGUGGAUCAGAAUGCCACGGUGAAUACGUUCCCGGGCCUUGUACACACCGCCCGUCACACCAUGGGAGUGGGUUGCAANAAGAAGUANGGUNAGCUU